AACGAACGCUGGCGGCAUGCCUAACACAUGCAAGUCGAACGAGACCUUCGGGUCUAGUGGCGCACGGGUGCGUAACGCGUGGGAACCUGCCCUUAGGCUCGGAAUAACUCCCCGAAAGGGGUGCUAAUACCGGAUAAUGUCUUCGGACCAAAGAUUUAUCGCCUUUGGAUGGGCCCGCGUUGGAUUAGCUAGUUGGUAGGGUAAAAGCCUACCAAGGCGACGAUCCAUAGCUGGUCUGAGAGGAUGAUCAGCCACACUGGGACUGAGGCACGGCCCAGACUCCUACGGGAGGCAGCAGUGGGGAAUAUUGGACAAUGGGCGAAAGCCUGAUCCAGCAAUGCCGCGUGAGUGAUGAAGGCCUUAGGGUUGUAAAGCUCUUUUACCCGGGAUGAUAAUGACAGUACCGGGAGAAUAAGCUCCGGCUAACUCCGUG
rnacentral:rRNA from 1 species